rnacentral:rRNA from 1 species
AUUGAACGCUGGCGGCAGGCCUAACACAUGCAAGUCGAACGAGUGGCGGACGGGUGAGUAAUGUCUGGGAAACUGCCUGAUGGAGGGGGAUAACUACUGGAAACGGUAGCUAAUACCGCAUACCAUCAGAUGUGCCCAGAUGGGAUUAGCUAGUUGGUGGGGUAAAGGCUAACCAAGGCGACGAUCCCUAGCUGGUCUGAGAGGAUGACCGGCCACACUGGACCGGAGCAACGGUCCAGACUCCUACGGGAGGCAGAAGUGGGGAAUAUUGGACAAUGGGCGCAAGCCUGAUGAAGCCAUGCCGCGUGUAUGAAGAAGGCCUUCGGGUUUUAAAGUACGUUCAGCGGGGAGGCGGUACCCGCAGAAGAAGCACCGGCUAACUCCGUGCCAGCAGCCGCGGUAAUAC